rnacentral:misc_RNA from 1 species
AAUGGAUGCAGUCGACUGAAGUUCGUGAAACGGUGCUCAAUUCAUAUCCAAACACCAAAAUUUGACACCUCGUGAUCUCUACCAACAUCACCGUAACUAGACAGCAGUACAGGGCGAGCUAGACUUUGCCCGAUACCUGUUAGAUCAAAUGCCAAAACGAGCAUUUGUUUCUUGGAACACCAUGAUGUCCGGUUACUCGAAAUGGUCGCGAGAGUUUCAAGCUUCUAAGGAGUGCCUUGUUGUAUUUUUAUGCAAAUUGUUCACAAAUCCAAAUUGCCGGGCAGGUUUUUUAUGAGUUGCGAGAUAGCAAUGAGCUGGUGGGUCGAUGCGGGUUAAUUACGAUGCUUAUAACGUCUUUAUUAAAAUGCCUAAAAAAAAGGACAUUGUUUCGUGGACUAAGCUUAUUUCGGAUGAAAGCAAGUGGAGAGGUAGUACCUAACGAGUUCACCUUGGAUUGUGUUAUGAGGAUUUGCCGUAAGCUUUGUUGUUCAUGGGAUUCUGAUAAAAUGUGGAUUUAAAUUUGAUCAGUCAAUUGGUGGUCCGCUUAUUCAGUUUGGUUGUGAUUGUGACUCUAUUGAUGAAAAUAGUUUAUGAUGGAGCAGUUAACCCGUGUUAGGUGCUUCAAGCUACCUAAUUGAGGGGGGUGAAUAUUGAUGGGUAGGAUUGGAGACGAGGAGCUGAUUUUUUACAGAGUAACUAAGAAAAAUUAUGUUGUGUGUAAUUUGAGGGUGAAA